rnacentral:rRNA from 1 species
CAGCCGCCGCGGGAAUACGUAGGGUGCGAGCGUUAAUCGGAAUUACUGGGCGUAAAGCGGGCGCAGACGGUUACUUAAGCAGGAUGUGAAAUCCCCGGGCUCAACCUGGGAAUUGCGUUCUGAACUGGGUGGCUAGAGUGUGUCAGAGGGGGGUAGAAUUCCACGUGUAGCAGUGAAAUGCGUAGAGAUGUGGAGGAAUACCGAUGGCGAAGGCAGCCCCCUGGGAUAGCACUGACGUUCAUGCCCGAAAGCGUGGGUAGCAAACAGGAUUAGAUACCCCGGUAGUCCCUGUCUCUUAUAC